rnacentral:rRNA from 1 species
CUAGUUCUAACCAUAAACUAUGUCGACUAGCAAUUGGAUGUCGCUACUAUAUGGUGCUUCCAAAAGCUUUCCGGGAAACCAAAGUCAUAUUCCGGGGAAAGUAUAGUUGCAAAAUUGAAAUUUAAAGGAAUUGACGGAAGGGCACCACCAGGAGUGGAGCCUGCGGCUUAAUUUGACUCAACACGGGAAAACUUACCAGGUCCGAACUUAAUUGAGUAAGACAGAUUAAUAGCUCUUUCUCGAAAUUAAGGGUAGUGGUGCAUGGCCGUUCUUAGUUCGUGGAAUGAUUUGUCUGGUUAAUUCCGAUAACGAACGUGACUCAAUCAAACUAACUUGAUUGCCAUCUCAGUGAAACGUUGAAACUAAUGUUAUGAUAACUCCCGUUGUUGUAAUGUUUGUGGAGUGUCACCUGAUGGUUUGCACUUCCUUUUAUUAAUUUAUUUGGUUGGACUGCCUACUUAGUAGGACAAUUUGUGUUUAGCAAAAUGAGAUUGAGCAAUAACAGGUCCGUGAUGCCCUUAGAUGUCCUGGGCUGCACGCGCGCUACAAUGUAGGCAUCAACGUGUAUCCUAGUUCGAAAGAACCGGGAAAUCACUCAAAAGCCUACUUAGUUGGGAUUGUGGACUGAAACUGUUCACAUGAACCUGGAAUUCCCAGUAAGUGCUAGUCACUAGCUAGCGUUGAUUACGUCCCUGCCCUUUGUACACACCGCCCGUCGCUACUACUGAUGGAUUAUUUAGUGAGGUUUUCGGAGAUGAUAGCUAGCGAUACUUCCGUGUUGCAGCAUUUUCAUUGAAGUUAACCGAACUUGACAAUCUAAAAGAAGUAAAAGUCG